GGAUCAUUAACGAAUAGAACAAAGUGACCUUGGCUGAUGCUGGCUCCUCGGAGCAUGUGCACGCCCUGGCUCGCGCCUUCAAUUCGCUUCACCCCUUGUGCACUUGAUGUAGGUCGUCGAUGUUGACGCCUAUGAAUUUUCGUCUUUGUACGCACCCCGAUUGCAUGUAUAAGCGCAGCUUUAUUUGAUAACACAAAAUACAACUUUCAACAACGGAUCUCUUGGCUCUCGCAUCGAUGAAGAACGCAGCGAAAUGCGAUAAGUAAUGUGAAUUGCAGAAUUCAGUGAAUCAUCGAAUCUUUGAACGCACCUUGCGCUCUUUGGCCAUUCCAAAGAGUAUGCCUGUUUGAGUGUCAUUGAAUCCUCAAGGCCCACCAGCUUUUUUGCCGGCUUGGGUUCCUUGGAUGUGGGAGUGCUGCGGGGCCUGCCUCUUUGGCUCCGCUCUCCUGAAAUGCAUCAGUAGGGCCUCGUCCUCUCGGGUCUUCGCGGCGUUGAUAAUUGUCUACGCCUCGCCCGUUGGGCUUCACCUGCUUCCCAACCUUUCAUCAGAAC
rnacentral:rRNA from 1 species